AAAACUUUCAACAACGGAUCUCUUGGUUCUGGCAUCGAUGAAGAACGCAGCGAAAUGCGAUAAGUAAUGUGAAUUGCAGAAUUCAGUGAAUCAUCGAAUCUUUGAACGCACAUUGCGCCCUCUGGCACUCCGGGGGGCAUGCCUGUUCGAGCGUCAUUG
rnacentral:rRNA from 1 species